UAUCAUUUAUUAUUAAUUAAAUAGCUUUGGUUUGGAUGAGGAAUCACGGUUCACGCGUACGCAUAUCUCGGUUAGAACGCUAUACUAUUUCUGAACGAGCAACCACGAGAACGCGUAUUCCGACGGUGGAAGCGUCAUGGGGAGCAGCAGUCAGUGCAUUAGGAAGAGAACAAGUGUAUUCGUUAAAUGCUCCCCUACACCUCUUAUUAUAUUAGUAAGUUUCUCACGAGGCCAGUAUUUUACUUGUAUUGAGCUUGCAAACUCUUGUACAAAUGAAAUUGUAUUGAACUAAUUAAACUACUAGUCACUAAACUGACUACAUUAGUGCAUUACUAUUUCUAAUUUCCAACGGCUAAAUGCCCAACAACUAUGCUUCACAAUUAACACUUUAUUACUACCACUAUCACUGCUGUGUAUUGGUACGAUAUGCUUUUCGCGGUAUUCUCCGCUACACUGAAAACCUGACCGGUUAACCAUUCAGUUUUCCACGCGCUGAAGGCAUUGGAGGCAUAUUAUGUACAAUUGAAAAUAAGCUGUAACCUCUCCAGCCUAUGUACACAAUGUAUAUGUGUAUGAGACUCAGAGAGUGGGAAUUUUGAGUUGAAGAUGGUACGUAUAGCACACUCUGUACAGAUAGUUGAGUCAAUGGACUAUCAUUCAGCAUUUCAGAAACUUUGGAAAUUUAAAUUGGAAUAAAAUUUUGUUGGUGAUGUUUAUAAAGUUUUUAUGACAUCAAAAACAAUAUUAAAAGAAAGUGUUGCAAACAAAGUCAAUUUAAUUAAAAUUCACUGAAAAUAAUUGACAUGAGAAAGCUUCGUAAUCAAUACUUUAAAAGUUCAAACAAUCAAAUUAAUAGAUAUUGAUUUAUUUUAUUAAUUAAUUCAGUUUAUUAUUUGAAAGUUAAACCAAAUUUAUAAUAUCUCAAUACACCGUUAAUACAAAAUAAUUACUGCUCAAAUUUAAAGCACAGCUUUGAAUAUUCGAGAUUAUCAAUUAAUACCUAAAUCAAUAUGAUUAAAUAUUAUGCUAUUCAGCAUCUCAAUGGAGAAUUUUUUCCUGAUUUUCUACUAUCAUUAGAGUUCUAUAUGUAAAUAAAUCAGCGAAAUAAAUAACUUUUGAUUGAUUUAUAAGAGAAGUUGGAGUACUCUUUAAGAGAUUUUCCUAAAGAUGAAAAAAGUUUAAUUUUUCAACAACAACAAAAAAUUUAUCUAAUAAAAACUGAGACACAUUUUAUUGCAAUUUAUGGUUUUAUUUUAAAAUUAUCUUUUUUUUUCUUUCAUUUCUUAUUAUUUCUACGUUUGUUGAGAUAUUUUUCACUUCUUCAUUUUUAAUUACUUAAAAAUCUCAAAGGUGUCUGCCAGUAACUGGCGCAUGAAAUUAAACGUUAAUCACAAGUACUCUUUUAUUAUUAAACAAGAAUAUUUGGAGACAUUUUUUUACCUGUCGUUUUUCAUUUCUUUGUUCAUGAAGAAUACUUUGGACUUAGAAUUAUUAAUCCACUGAUCUAUUGUCAAACAAUAUUUAUUUAUGUUCAAUUAAUUAAUAUUAUUAUUAAUAUAACUAUUAUUUUUUGUUUUUUUUUUAUUAUUAUGAUAAGAAUAAGUGUUGUUAAAGAGAACAAAACUUCACACUAAUUAGAUUUUUAAUUUGAUAGAAAAAGAAAUGACCCAAUUAAUCUAGAAGUUUUAUGAGAAAAAGAGAAUUUCUAAAUCAUCAAAGCAAUUUUUUAUUCACAUCACUAUUAAUAACUAACAACAUUAAAUGAACGUAUCAAGUAAUUGUACCGAGUAAGGGUAGUUAACAUGUUGCUCUUUCACCCACAAGAAGCUGAAGAAACAAUAUGGUAUUAACAACGUAAUGUCAUCAAAGUAUAAUUAAAUGAUACAACUUUCUGUUAAACACUUGUCAAAAUGAUGAAUAUAUUCUAUGUAUUAUUAAUAUUGUUAGUUUCGUACUGGUGAUUACAAUAAUGGAAUGGAAACCGCAAAAAUUAAAUUCCUCAAGUUAACUCAGGUGUAAUUCACCAAACUCUGAAUAACGUUGAGAAAUGUACGAAGUAUGAUCGAUGAAAAUUGUUUGUUUCGACUUGGAGGUUUCUUAGCAACUCAAGUCAGUUCAUAUACAUAUUUAGAAUCCUAGUUUUGGCUAAUUUACAUUCUUUACUAUAAUAUUCACAAGUUUGUGCUGGUUUUAACUUUUUACAUUACAUAUUUUUGGAACCAACUACUUGCAACAGUGUUUAAUUAUUAAUUUUAGCAACAAUGAAUUAAA